AACAACUUCUACGCAGCUGCCUCUCGCCAACUUGACUGAUAAGCUGCAGGAGCUGAUCCUGCUCCUGAUUGGAGGAGAGCAGCAUGCUCGGCAUGUGGGUAGCAGAGUUGGGAUUGGUGGAAGAGGACUAUAAAGGAGGAGAGACACAACAUGCACCAGGAACAUCCGGAUAACAUCUGAGCAGCCCCCGAGAGAGCCAGCCGGCGGUGUGCCACUCCUCCGCAGAAGUGGGGAAAGUGGCAGGGGGAGCCACCCCUCCGCGGAGGUGGAGGGGUCGGCAGCCAACCCGGGAAGGACCAGCAGCAAACCUGGGAAGGGCCGAGCAGACAAAAGAACAGUGCAGGGUCCUGUGUCGUUCCUCCGUGAAGAGGGGGAGCGACACUCUACAGAAUCAGUAAUAGACUCAGCAACAGCCCCCUCCCCCUUAUUUCCUCAAAAGGAUUCAUGUUUGCUAAAGACCAUCACUAAAGAACAGAGUAGCCUGUACCAAAGAGCACACACCCCAAUAAAGAGGAAGAUGAGGGCAUGGCAUAUCUACCCAUGGCAACAAUUUAAACAUCUUUUAGUAUUCUUUCUCCUAGAAUCCCUUUGCGGCUAUUCUGUUCCUGAAUGCUCUCAAAUCUUGUUCCCUCCACAGAACCUGCUCUGCUACUCCAUCCUUCUUCCAAAUUCCCUCUCUUCUUCCCAGCAUAUUUUUAUUCUGCCUUGACUUUUUUUUAAAGAUUUAUUUGUUUACUUAUUUGACGGGUGGAGAGUUACAGAGAGGCAGAGGCAGAGAGAGAGAAGUCUUCACUCCCCAAAUGGCAACUAUGGCCAGAGCUGUGCCAAUCUGAAGCCAGAACCACGAGAUUCUUCCAGGUCUCCCAUGUGCAUGCAGAGGCCCAAAGACUUCAAGAGUUCAACCAAUGGUACUAGAACAAGGAUCCAAAACCAAUCCCUGGAGUAAGGACAGUCUAUUCAAUAAAUGGUGCUGGGAAAAUUGGAUUUCCACGUGCAGAAUCAUGAAGCAAGACCCCUACCCUUCACCUUACACAAAAAUUCACUCAACGUGUAUUAAAGACAUAAGUCGACAACCUGACACCAUCAAAUUAUUAGAGAGCAUUGGAAAAACCCUGCAAGAUAUAGGUACCGGCAAUGACUUCUUGGAAAACACCCCAGAAGCACAGGCAGUCAAAGCCAAAAUUAACAUUUGGGAUUGCAUCAAAUUGAGAAGUUUCUGUACUGCAAAAGAAACAGGAAAGUGAAGAGGCAACCAACAGAAUGGGAAAAAAUAUUUGCAAACUAUGCAACAGAUAAAGGGUUGAUAACCAGAAUCCACAAAGAAAUCAAGAAACUCCACAACAUCAAAACAAACAACCCACUUAAGAGAUGGGCCAAGGACCUCAAUAGACAUUUUUCAAAAGAGGAAAUCCAAAUGGCCAGCAGGCACAUGAAAAAAUGUUCAAGAUCACUAGCAAUCAGGGAAAUGCAAAUCAAAACCACAAUGAGGUUUCACCUCACCUCGGUGAGAAUAGCUCACAUUCAGAAAUCUACCAACAAUAGAUGCUGGCAAGGAUGUGAGGAAAAAGGGACACUAACCCACUGUUGGUGGGAAUGCAAACUGGUUAAGCCACUGUGGAAGUCAGUCUGGAGAUACCAUACAACCCAGCCAUCCCACUCCUUGGAAUUUAACCCCCCAAAAAAUUAAAUUGGCAAACAAACAAGCUGUCUGCACAUUAAUGUUUAUUGCAGCUCAAUUCACAAUAGCUAAGACCUGGAACCAACCUAAAUGCCCAUCAACAGUAGACUGGAUAAAGAAAUUAUGGGACAUGUACUCUAUAGAAUACAAUACAGCAGUCAAAAACAACGAAACCCAGUAAUUUGCAACAAGAUGGAGGAAUUUGGAAAACAUCAUGCUGAGUGAAUUAAGCCAGUCCCAAAGGGAUAAAUAUCAUAUGUUCUCCCUGAUCGGCGACAACUAACUGAGCACCAAAGGGGAAACCUGUCGAAGUGAAAUGGACACUAUGAGAAACAGUGACUUGAUAAGCUCUUGUCCUGACUGUUGAUGUACAAUGUAAUACUUUAUCCGUUUUCAUUCUCUGUAGCAGUAUGUAAGACUUUGUAUCUCUCUACAUUUUCUCAAACCUUAUUAUCUGUUUUUCCAGUUAUUAUUCAUUUGUUUUCAUUUUAUUUGAAAGACAGGGAGACAGACAAACAAACAGAAACAGAGAGAGAUCUUCCAUCUGCAGGUUCACUGCCCAAAUGCCCAUAACAAUGGGCCAAGCCAAAGCCAAGAGACUGGAAUUCCAUGCAAAUCUCUGAAGUGAGUGGUAGGGACCCAAGUACUUGAGUCAUCACCUGCUGCCACCCAGAGAUUGCAUUAGCAGGAAGUUAGAUAAGAGGAGGAAGAGGGGCUGGCACUGUGGCACAGCGGGUUAAAGCCCUGGGCUGGGAUGCCAGCAUCCCAUAUGUGCACUGGCUCUUGUCCCUACUGCUCUUCUUCCUAUCCAGCUCUCUGCUGUGGUCUGAGAAGGCAGUAGAAGAUAGCCCAAGUCCUUGGGCCCCUUGCACCUAUGUUGAGACCUGGAAGCCUCCGGGCCCCUGGCUUUGGAUCUGUGCAGCUCCAGCCGUUGUGGCCAUCUGAGGAGUGAACCAGUAGAUGGAGGACCUCUCUCUUGAUCUCUGCCUCUCUGUAACUCUUUCAAAUAAAUAAAUCUUGAAAAAGCCACAAGAAAUACAUAUUUGUUUAAAAAAAAUAAAGAGGUGGAAGAGCCAGAUUCAA